rnacentral:rRNA from 1 species
GUUUGACGUUAGCAACAGAAGAAGCACCGGCUAACUCCGUGCCAGCAGCCGCGGUAAUACGGAGGGUGCGAGCGUUAAUCGGAAUUACUGGGCGUAAAGCGCAUGCAGGUGGUCUGUUAAGCAAGAUGUGAAAGCCCGGGGCUCAACCUCGGAACAGCAUUUUGAACUGGCAGACUAGAGUACUGUAGAGGGGGGUAGAAUUUCAGGUGUAGCGGUGAAAUGCGUAGAGAUCUGAAGGAAUACCGGUGGCGAAGGCGGCCCCCUGGACAGAUACUGACACUCAGAUGCGAAAGCGUGGGGAGCAAACAGGAUUAGAUACCCUGGUAGUCCACGCCGUAAACGAUGUCUACUUGGAGGUUGUGGCCUUGAGCCGUGGCUUUCGGAGCUAACGCGUUAAGUAGACCGCCUGGGGAGUACGGUCGCAAGAUUAAAACUCAAAUGAAUUGACGGGGGCCCGCACAAGCGGUGGAGCAUGUGGUUUAAUUCGAUGCAACGCGAAGAACCUUACCUA